UACGGGGGAUGCAAGCGUUAUCCGGAAUCAUUGGGCGUAAAGCGCCUGUAGGUUGUUUAAUAAGUCUGUUGUUAAAGACUAGGGCUCAACCCUAGAAAAGCAAUGGAAACUGCUAGACUAGAGUAUGGUAGGGGUAGAGGGAAUUUCUAGUGUAGCGGUGAAAUGCGUAGAUAUUAGAAAGAACACCGGUGGCGAAAGCGCUCUACUGGACCAUUACUGACACUCAGAGGCGAAAGCUAGGGUAGCAAAAGGGAUUAGAUACCCCUGUAGUCCUAGCCGUAAACGAUGGAUACUAGAUGUUGCGCAUACCGUGCAGUAUCGUAGCUAACGCGUUAAGUAUCCCGCCUGGGGAGUACGCUCGCAAGGGUG
rnacentral:rRNA from 1 species